rnacentral:rRNA from 1 species
GGCAAUAGUGCUGCAGUUAAAGCUCGUAGUUGAAUUUCUGGUGCUCACGACCCUUGCCUCCUGUGGGGCUAUGGGUGGGCAUCCGUUUGCCUGCUGCACUCACGCUUCGCUGGUUCGGUGUCGGACGCUGAGUCUUUACUUUGACAAAAUUAAAGUGAUACUGGCCGGCUUUUGCCCAAACUCGUUAAUUUGGAAUAGUGAAAUUGGACUCUGACUCCUGUGCUAUUUUAUUGGAUCUGAGACAUGAUUAAUGAUUACAAUUAACAGGCAUUAGGCUUUCAUUGUUCAAUGUGAAAUUCUUGGAUUUGUAUUUACUAACUUAUAACUUCUGCUUUGCCAAGGAUGUUUUCAUUAAUCAUUAACGAAAACGAAAGGAUAAAAGCUCAUCAAAUACCGUUGUAUUCUUAACUAUCAACUAUACCGACUCCGAAUUGGGAUUGCAUUUUAGCUCUUGAUGACUCCUGCGACACCUUAUGACUUUGGGAUCUGGUGGGAGCAUAGUCGAGUAGGUUAAACUUGCUGAAACUGACAGAAAGUGACCACCGGGCACGAACCUGGCUGCUCACUGCGACUCAAUUUGGCUCAACUUACCAAGACUUAACAUGUCCAGACUUGACAGAGAGAGAGCUAUUGCUAGAUCCUAUGUGAGUCUAUGCAUGGUCGUGCAUAGUCGGUCUAGUGAUGUGGAUGGAUUAGUCCGGUUACUUCCGAUACCUUACCCUACCUCAUACAGGUACAUGUCUGUACUCUACUCUUAUAUCUUCAUCUACGGACAUUGACUAUGAAUACAUAGAACAUGGAAGUAAUAGCAAAUCUGUGGUGUGCUUAGAUCUUC